rnacentral:rRNA from 1 species
AACGAACGCUGGCGGCAUGCCUAACACAUGCAAGUCGAACGAGACCUUCGGGUCUAGUGGCGCACGGGUGCGUAACGCGUGGGAACCUGCCCUUAGGUUCGGAAUAACUCCCCGAAAGGGGUGCUAAUACCGGAUAAUGUCUUCGGACCAAAGAUUUAUCGCCUUUGGAUGGGCCCGCGUUGGAUUAGCUAGUUGGUAGGGUAAAAGCCUACCAAGGCGACGAUCCAUAGCUGGUCUGAGAGGAUGAUCAGCCACACUGGGACUGAGACACGGCCCAGACUCCUACGGGAGGCAGCAGUGGGGAAUAUUGUACAAUGGGCGAAAGCCUGAUCCAGCAAUGCCGCGUGAGUGAGGAAGGCCUUAGGGUUGUAAAGCUCUUUUACCCGGGAUGAUAAUGACAGUACCGGGAGAAUAAGCUCCGGCUAACUCCGUG